ensembl:lncRNA
CUAAAUCCUCUCUGGCAUGUUGCUAUAGUUCAAGUUCUAGCAUCAUUCUUUUGAAAUGUGUGUACAUUUAUGUAUAUUAUGUACACCCAUGGGUUCAUAUACACAUACAUAGGUGUAUAUUAGUUUCUAUAAAACGAUAAGUAUAAAUGUCAACAUAAUAUGAAUAUUUACAGCUAACAAUGCUGUAAAUGUGAAUCUUUUAAUUAUUCAUGUAAACAGCUUGUUAGGCGUACUAUUAUUUGUGGACUAAGUGAAUGUAACAUAGUCGUGUGACUCCAAACAUUGAUUCCUCUAAACGGGUUUAAACAAAACGAGAAAAAGUGUUUGUAAAUGUCUAUGAACUAAUAUUCUGUUUUCUGUGAAGUUCAUGGACCAACGGAAUGAAACUAACAGGAGAUAUAAAGUUAAGCUGUUCAUCACAUGACAUGUAAUCACCAGCACGUUGGUGCAGAUACGAGUAAAUGCUCUUUAUAUAUAUAAACACUUGGCUGCCUCUCGACGGGAGCUCAACUCCGUUUAAAACAAACUCAAAAGAUCUUUAAGAAGAAACAGAGCCAAUCUGUCGCCAACAUGACUAAUCCUGCUGGCAGAGGCUCUGCGCGGUUACCACGGUUACCACGGCAACGAGGGGGGUGUGCCAUCCACGACGCGGUACGAAGGGCUGCAGGAGGAUGCGUUUACCGUCGGCCCAUCCGUGUCAAUAAGAGGAAUACUGAGCUGGAGUCAUCGCAGCCGUAGGGUCACAGCAGCGGCACAUGUUUGUAGUCGUCUCUAAUCAACUAAUGACUUCAUUAAUCCGCUUAAGCUCCUCUUUUGUGGAACCAGCUUCCACUUUCUGUCCAGGGGGCAGAUUCGGUCAGCUCAUCUAAGAUAAAGCUUAAGACUUUCCUCUUUGAUAUGGCUUAUAGUUAGGGCUGGCUCAGGUUAGUCUGGACCAGCCCUUAGUUAAGCUGCUGUAGGCUUAGACUCACAGGUUUCCAUGCAUCAUGGUUCUAUCUGGAUCCUGUUCCUGCCUCCUGCCGUGGCCCUGCUGACACCUGCUGCUGCCAUCAUCAGUAUUAUUACUAUUUUAAAUAUGAAUCAUAUUACUAUUACUGUCCACAUAAACCACCAUUUCCUAAAGGCGUGUGCUUUUCCUCCCCACAGGCUUCUGUGGAUGGUGGUUCUAUGUGAUGGUGGUUCUAUGAGGUGGGGGUUCUAUCUGAUGGUGGUUCUAUGGGAUGGUGGUUCUAUCUGAUGGUGGUUCUAUGAGGUGGUGGUUCUAUCUGAUGGUGGUUCUAUGAGGUGGUCGUUCUAUGUGAUGGUGGUUCUAUGAGGUGGUCGUUCUAUGUGAUGGUGGUUCUAUGAGGUGGGGUUCUAUCUGAUGGUGGUUCUAUGAGGUGGUCGUUCUAUGUGAUGGUGGUUCUAUGAGGUGGUCGUUCUAUGUGAUGGUGGUUCUAUGAGGUGGUGGUUCUAUCUGAUGGUGGUUCUAUGAGGUGGUCGUUCUAUGUGAUGGUGGUUCUAUGAGGUGGUCGAUCUAUGUGAUGGUGGUUCUAUGAGGUGGGGGUUCUAUCUGAUGGUGGUUCUAUGAGGUGGUCGUUCUAUCUGAUGGUGGUUCUAUGAGGUGGUGGUUCUAUGGGAUGGUGGUUCUAUCUGAUGGUGGUUCUAUGUGAUGGUGGUUCUCUCUGAUGGUGGUUCUAUGUGAUGGUGGUUCUAUGUGAUGGUGGUGGUCCCUGCAGUGGUCCUGCAGUACACCUGCUCACUACUCCCAUUAUUUGAAUCAUCUCUGUCAUAUGAAUUGAAUGUAUCGUUCAUCUUCCACAUUGUUCAUUCUGUCCUCAUGACAUCAUCGUAGUCUGUCCAUCAGGAGACGGAUCCUCCUCUGACGUUCUCACUGAGGGUUCUUCCCUUUUCUCCCCAUGGAAGGGUUUCAUUGUUUGGGGAGUUUUUCCUGUGAGGGUAUCUGGACAGAGGAUGUCACAUGUGUACAGACUAAUACCCACUGAGGCAAAUUUGUAAUUUGCAAUUUUAGCUCUACAAAAUAAAAUAAAUUGAAUUGAAUUCAUUAUUUUCUAAUUGAUUUGUGACUUGGUCAACGUUUCUCUUAUAUCAUAAUCAAUUAGAUAUUUUUAUAGCUCAACAAUCCAAAAUCCCACAUUUCCCUUAGAGGGAUUUUAGAAUCUGUUUCAGAACAUAGCGACAUGAUGGAGCCUCACGUCUCUCAUCCGAUCUCCUAUAAUAAUCUACAAUAAUACAGGAGAACUCUAUUGGACCGAGCGGAUGUGUUUUAGUGAUAAACCACACAGGUGACCUCAGCAGGUCGCAGGUCUGCCGUGCGUUCAUGGUCCUCUUGAUUGUUCACCCUACAGAUGACUUGUUAGGCCACAAUUAGGCCUGACCUCUGACCUCACCUGCCACCAGAGUGCCAUUCAGGUUCCAUUUAAAAUCAUUUAAAUGCCUUUUUAGUAAUACACCAAUCAUAUAAUAAUACAUACGUCGAGGUUCAAGGAGAAGAGGUUUACAUUACGUUUCCAUGAAAUAUGAGAUCAUUCUGUCAACACAGUUGACAGAAUGAUCCAUAAAGAAGAAAACCCGUCUGUCUUCCCGCAGCCUGACCCUGCUCCGGUGCGCUCUGUUAAUGGGCCCUGAACGCCUCACGGGGCCCUCUCUUUGUCCCCUCCAUCUCACCGCCUCCGUCUCUGCAGAGAAACACC